rnacentral:rRNA from 1 species
AUACGUAGGUGGCAAGCGUUGUCCGGAUUUAUUGGGCGUUAAAAGCGAGCGCAGGCGGUUUUUUAAAGUCUGAUGUGAAAGCCUUCGGCUCAACCGAAGAAGUGCAUCGGAAACUGGGAAACUUGAGUGCAGAAGAGGACAGUGGAACUCCAUGUGUAGCGGUGAAAUGCGUAGAUAUAUGGAAGAACACCAGUGGCGAAGGCGGCUGCCUGGUCUGUAACUGACGCUGAGG